CUGUUUGAUCCUGGCUCAGGACGAACGCUGGCGGCGUGCUUAACACAUGCAAGUCGAACGGAAAGGCCCUGCUUUUGUGGGGUGCUCGAGUGGCGAACGGGUGAGUAACACGUGAGUAACCUGCCCUUGACUUUGGGAUAACUUCAGGAAACUGGGGCUAAUACCGGAUAGGAGCUCCUGCUGCAUGGUGGGGGUUGGAAAGUUUCGGCGGUUGGGGAUGGACUCGCGGCUUAUCAGCUUGUUGGUGGGGUAGUGGCUUACCAAGGCUUUGACGGGUAGCCGGCCUGAGAGGGUGACCGGCCACAUUGGGACUGAGAUACGGCCCAGACUCCUACGGGAGGCAGCAGUGGGAAUAUUGCACAAUGGGCGGAAGCCUGAUGCAGCAACGCCGCGUGCGGGAUGACGGCCUUCGGGUUGUAAACCGCUUUCGCCUGUGACGAAGCGUGAGUGACGGUAAUGGGUAAAGAAGCACCGGCUAACUACGUGCCAGCAGCCGCGGUGAUACGUAGGGUGCGAGCGUUGUCCGGAUUUAUUGGGCGUAAAGGGCUCGUAGGUGGUUGAUCGCGUCGGAAGUGUAAUCUUGGGGCUUAACCCUGAGCGUGCUUUCGAUACGGGUUGACUUGAGGAAGGUAGGGGAGAAUGGAAUUCCUGGUGGAGCGGUGGAAUGCGCAGAUAUCAGGAGGAACACCAGUGGCGAAGGCGGUUCUCUGGGCCUUUCCUGACGCUGAGGAGCGAAAGCGUGGGGAGCGAACAGGCUUAGAUACCCUGGUAGUCCACGCUGUAAACGGUGGGUACUAGGUGUGGGGUCCAUUCCACGGGUUCCGUGCCGUAGCUAACGCUUUAAGUACCCCGCCUGGGGAGUACGGCCGCAAGGCUAAAACUCAAAGGAAUUGACGGGGCCCCGCACAAGCGGCGGAGCAUGCGGAUUAAUUCGAUGCAACGCGUAGAACCUUACCUGGGUUUGACAUGGAUCGGGAGUGCUCAGAGAUGGGUGUGCCUCUUUUGGGGUCGGUUCACAGGUGGUGCAUGGCUGUCGUCAGCUCGUGUCGUGAGAUGUUGGGUUAAGUCCCGCAAC
rnacentral:rRNA from 1 species